UGUUAUAUAAAUAAAAACUAAUAAAAUAAAUACUGAAUGCCAUCACAAAAAUUUAUAGUAAAUUAUAUUCAGAACAUAAUAUUGCAUUACAUGCUAUGAUAAAAUCAUAAUUAGACAUCAUAAAAUAUUACUCCAAGUAAUAAACUAUGAUAAAAAUUGAUAAAAUUUAUCAAAUACACAUUAAUUUUUUGCUCUCUCAUGUAUUAAUUGACUGUAUAUGUAAGCAUCAAACUCAUC
rnacentral:lncRNA from 1 species